rnacentral:lncRNA from 1 species
AUGCAGGUUGCAUAUGGAAGAAAGGUGAAGAAAUUGAACCAAGCUUACCUCUGAAAUUUUGGCAGCAGGGCGAUGAAUGCAGAUUUCUCCUGGGUGAAUUCCCUUGUGAAGAUUGGGAGUGAAAAUGGUGUACGUGGGCUGAUAUUGCAUAAUUGAGUGAUGAGUGGUGGGAAAAAUGAUGAGCGGUGGGGGAAAGUGGUGGGGAAAAGUGAUGGUAGUGGUGUAGAGAAGUGGGGAACAAAAAUUAAUGGAAAGAAAAAGAAAGAAAAAAAAUGUAGAGAAGAAUUAAUGAUGUAUUUUCUAUGUCUCGGUGAUUCUGUAACUGUAAUAAAAUACUGGCUUCGAUUCUGCUUGAUACUGUAUUUACAUAAAUCUCGAUUUCGAC